rnacentral:piRNA from 1 species
GAACAAGAAGGCUUAAACAUAUAGA